rnacentral:pre_miRNA from 1 species
UCACCUCUGCAGGCUGGCCGGCCCCAGGCUGAGCGGGGCAAGUAUCUCUUGGAAAAGCUCACCCUCAAGCACGACUAGGAGC